rnacentral:rRNA from 1 species
GCGCACCAGUCGAGAAAACUUCACAAUGUGCGAAAGCACGAUGAGGGAAUCCCAAGUGCUUGCACGUAAGUGUAAGCUGUUUCUCUGUCUAAAACGCAGAGAGAGUAAGGGCUGGGUAAGACGGGUGCCAGCCGCCGCGGUAAUACCUGCAGCUCGAGUGGUGACCGUUAUUAUUGGGCCUAAAACGUCCGUAGCCGGUUUAAUAAAUGCCUGGGUAAAUCGGACCGCUUAACGGUUCGAAUUCCGGGUAGACUGUUAAACUUGAGACCGGGAGAAGUUAGAGGUACUCCUGGGGUAGAGGUGAAAUUCUGUAAUCCUAGGGGGACCACCAGUGGCGAAGGCGUCUAACUAGAACGGGUCUGACGGUGAGGGGACGAAGCCCUGGGGCGCAAACGGGAUUAGAUACCCCUGUAGU